rfam:Endozoicomonas numazuensis strain DSM 25634 scaffold00001, whole genome shotgun sequence.
GUGGGCGUAGCUCAGUUGGUAGAGCCCCGGAUUGUGAUUCCGGUGGUCGUGGGUUCGAACCCCAUCGUCCACC